rnacentral:lncRNA from 1 species
AAACAACUGAUCAUUAUAAAGAUUCACAUCAGAGUUUAUGAAUGGACCACAGUGAACCAGCCACCCUAGGUGCCAUCUAAUCUAUGUGAACUCUGACAGACAUUCUGACCUGAUAUGUCAUCAGAACACUGCCCAAAAGUUCAUUGCAGUAACCUUGAGUGCUUCUUAGCCCUGGUGGUCUCUCAGACAGUCCUGGAUAGGAAUGCCUUGGACAGCAUGGAGCAGUGCUGGUCGGGAGGUUUGCAGUGUAUCCCUAGGGGCAUUGACUGAUCGUUUUCUUUUCAUUACCCUGAGCUACAUUUGAUGUUUUCAUUUAUUGUUGUCAUUAUUCCAUUUUAGUCUAGAUUGUUGCAGUUUCAGGCACACAAUCCUGUGCAAGAAAGAAAGGAAGGAAGGAAGGAAUAAAGAAAAUAACUUUAUAAAGCAAAGAAGGAGCCAGCAAAUUGCCUAAAAGUACUUGCUGACAUGACUGUUAAACUUCCAGGCUGUCUACUGUGGGAGGAGAGACCUGAU